rnacentral:snRNA from 1 species
GCUCAACUUCAGCAGAACAUAUACUAAAAUUAUAAUGAUAUGGAGCUAGCAUGAACCUCUGCACAAGGAUGACAUGCAACUUCACUAAGUGUUCCAUAUGUUG